CAGGCAUGGAUGACCAGCUGCUGGUCUUGGACACCAUGGCAGAGUUGCUGGACACGCACAGACCUGUUCAAGCAAGUCCUAGGUGGACAGAAUUGCAACCCUGAGGACAGCAGUACCUGCAAGGAAACCACAAAUCUAUCAAUGCAGAUAGAUCUUCUUAUGCACUGGGAGUUUUUAAGAUGUAGCCGUUGAAGGCACUGGCCCACUUACUCAUGGAGUUUUUCCUCCCAGCUGAAGGAUGUGCAUGGGACAGCUGCGCUCACAGUUGCAGCGGCACGGGUGCCUCUGUAGGAGUCCUGCCCUGCACGUUUCCCCAUGUGCUGGCUGCGUCCAAAGCCAGCAGCAGCUCUCCGUGGGGUCUUGGCCCUUCAGCAGAGUGUUUGAGACUCUGACUGCUCUGUGGAGACAGCUCCAAUCCAACUGCCCUUCUCUACAAGCCUGUUAGCCAAGGGAUCUGCAGGAGGAUGUUUUACAGCUUCUGAAAAGGAUUGAAGUCAGGUUGUCGAGUGGGGGCUUAAGAGUGACUGUAGGCAUACCUGCCUCCCACAAGCAGGGGUGGAGGGAUUGCAGGCUUGAGAAUGAAAAGCGGGGAGUGCCUGCUUUGCAGACAUUUCUGUCACUUGUGCAUGCCAGUACUCAGCCCCACUACACAGAAGAACAUCUUAAUGUCGGGGGGAAAAAAAUGCCACAAACUUGAUGGUGAGCUGCAGAGACUUUGGGACCUUGCAGUGCUACCUGUGUGCUGUGUUUCCCUCUAAAAUGUCCCUUGGUCUUGGAGUUCUGUGAUUUUAGGAAGCAGAGCAGGAGCCACCCUCCAGUGUCAGCACUGCCCAUGCAGCAGGCAUGGCCAGCCACGUGCUGGGGGGUGGCUUUGGCACACAGGUUGUGGUGAGGGUAAAUUAUGUACUAUUAAUACACAAAUGCUUUCCCUACCCUUGCCAGGGACUUGUUCCCAGGUGCAGUUCUGUCCAUAGCUUACUCAGACUCAAGGUCAGAGGCUAAAGUAAGAAGACAUGUAUCGGGUAAGUUUUUUUUCUUCUUUCUUUGCAAAUUCUGCCUGUAAACAUAGGGCCAGUUUUAAAACAACUGUUGAGUUUGAUGGGGAAUUUAAUGUGUUUUGAACUUUGUGAGAGGGUAACUAUUUGGGAGAUAACUACAGUGAACCUGUAUGAUUCUUAAAGCUGCU